rnacentral:rRNA from 1 species
GAUGAACGCUAGCGGCAGGCCUAAUACAUGCAAGUCGAACGGGUGGUCGCAAGACCCCUAGUGGCGCACGGGUGCGUAACGCGUAACCAACCUGCCCCGAUCUGGGGGAUAGCCCGCCGAAAGGCGGAUUAAUACCGCAUAUACCCGCAGCCUGGCAUCAGGCAACGGGGAAAGAUUUAUUGGAUCGGGAUGGGGUUGCGUGACAUUAGCUAGUUGGCGGGGUAAGGGCCCACCAAGGCGACGAUGUCUAGGGGACCUGAGAGGGUGAUCCCCCACACUGGAACUGAGGGACGGGGCAGAAUCCUACGGGAGGCAGAAGUAGGGAAUAUGGGGCAAUGGGCGAGAGCAUGACCCAGCCAGGCCGCGUGCCGGAUGAAGGCCUUAGGGGUUGUAAACGGCUUUUCUCAGGGAAGAAAAAGACCUUGCGAGGUACACUGACGGUACCUGAGGAAUAAGCAACGGCUAACUCCGUG